UUGGAAGGAAGAGAGCAAGACAGAGUCUUCUGUAACUGAUUGUAAGCACUGGACUACUUUGCCCUAUCCAGACUGAGAAGAAACACAUCCUAACAGCAGCCCAUCCACUUUCUCCACAGCAGUUCAAGGAUGCAAAAAUAUUCGAAGUCUGAGAAUCAGUACGAAACUUCUUCUCAUUCAUCAUAUGACGGAUAUUCAGAAAUGGUCUGAUGCCCAACAGGACAUCUGGUCCCUUCAUAACUGUGAUUCAGAACAAUACUGAGGGAGAGGGACCUUCUCGACAACAAAGAAUGUGUUUGGCUCUUUGUAUGAUGAAUAAAUCCACCUUCCUGCUAAUGUUUAUGGAUGGGCAAUGAUGGAACAGGGAAGGAGUUGAAUGGGAGGAAAGAAGUUCUCUGCUAGGUGGAAGUGAUGAAUGAAAUCAUCACCUAGAAAGUGAAGGCUACUUUGCCUGCCUGAGCUGUGAUCACUGAAAGAACUUCCAACUUACUAAGAACAUCGGAGUGGAUAAAAAUAUCAGACUAUUUCAAUACAAGACUGGAGAAAAAAAAAUGAAACUAAGGUCAGGACCUACUGAAGGAAGAAAUAAACAUGCAAAAAGCAAGUCUGUCAGGAGCCGCUGGUGCAUGGGAGACCAUUUAAACUCUGGAAUACGAAACAUAGUUGUGCGUGGACCUGGACUAAACUGUCGUCGC